AUUGGUUGGCUAUUACAUAUAACAGAUGAAUAUUGUAUACGUAAGUUUCGUAUGCGAUAUUACUCUGGUCGAAGCGCACGUUAUCUUCCAGUCAUCAUCAUAGCGUAGUUUGUGUAGACAUCAUCAAAAAUGGUUGUGUGCAUAGCUUUAAUGGUUUUCAUUUCGUUCAUGUACACAGGAAUCUCAGACGGUCAAGCGUCAAACGAUAACAGUAUUAGUGUUAUGGGGGAUGGUGAUUGUUUAGACACAAGUUCGCAUAUUGUUAUACCUAAACACGACUGCAUUGAAGAACUCGGUCUGGAUCAAUAUUUACGUCUUGAGGCUGACAGAUAUGAUGCUGAUGAUCAUAUAGAACUAGAUGGAAACGGACUUAUGAUGGACAAUGGUGAUUGUAUAUUCGGUGAUGUGGUACAGAGUAAGCAGGAUUGUAUUGAACAUCUAGGUGAAAUAAGAUAUCAACAGAGGGUACAGGAACAAAAUAAAAUCGAUGCCGCGAAGAAAAACUGAUAAAAUAUCGUUGUUUUAGAAAUAAUUGAUUCAUCUACCCUUCCAGGCAAUAAACAAAUAUCAAUAUGUAUAGAAUGAAAACGUAAGAAAUAAAAUGAAAUGAAAUGGA